UACUAGAGUAGCACUCGCAUAUCAAUAAGCGGAGGAAAAGAAACUAACAAGGAUUCCCCUAGUAACGGCGAGUGAAGCGGGAAGAGCUCAAAUUUGAAAUCUUAAAGGGUUUCCCUUUACGAAUUGUAGUUUAAAGAAGUGUUUUCUGUUGAGGUUUUGGUAAAAGUUCUUUGGAAUAGGACAUCAUAGAGGGUGAGAAUCCCGUAUUUGACCUUUACUUUCAACUUUGUGAUACACUUUCAAAGAGUCGGAUUGUUUGGGAAUGCAGUCCAAAGAUGGGUGGUAAAUUUCAUCUAAAGCUAAAUAUUGGCGAGAGACCGAUAGCGAACAAGUACCGUGAGGGAAAGAUGAAAAGAACUUUGAAAAGAGAGUUAAACAGUACGUGAAAUUGUCAAAAGGGAAGCGUUUGACACCAGUGUUGUUUUUCUGAAAAUCAAUUAAAGAACUGUUUAUGCUAAGUUGUUUAGACUUUAUCAGCUAACUGUUUAGUUUUGAGCUUUUCUUUAAUGCACUUUUCAGUUAACAAGUCAACAUCAAUUUCUUUUGCUGUAAAAAAGCUUGAGGAAGGUGGCUUGAGAUUCGUCUUAAGUGUUUAUAGCCUCUUGCCUAUGCAGUCGGAGAGAUUGAGGUCUGCAGCGUAGAUCCUUCGGGGCUAAAUGCAUUUGUGCUAAGUUAUAGCAUUUUAUAGACAACUUGUUGACUAUGAUUUGUCUUGUAGCUUACUCGCUUAUGUUAUUUUACCUACGCUUAGGAUGUUGAGCGCAUGUCUCUCUCU
rnacentral:rRNA from 1 species